AGAUCGCAGUCUGCAACUCGACUGCGUGAAGUCGGAAUCGCUAGUAAUCGCGGAUCAGCAUGCCGCGGUGAAUACGUUCCCGGGCCUUGUACACACCGCCCGUCACACCAUGAGAGUCGGGAACACCCGAAGCCCGUAGCCUAACAGCAAUGAGGGCGCGGUCGAAGGUGGGUUCGAUAAUUGGGGUGAAGUCGUAACAAGGUAGC
rnacentral:rRNA from 1 species